rnacentral:rRNA from 1 species
GUGGGGAAUAUUGCACAAUGGGCGCAAGCCUGAUGCAGCGACGCCGCGUGGAGGAGGAAGGUCUUCGGAUUGUAAACUCCUGUUGAGUGGGAAGAAAUGGCUACUUUAAAUAAAGGUAGCAGCUGACGGUACCACUCGAGGAAGCACCGGCAAACUUCGUGCCAGCAGCCGCGGUAAUACGAAGGGUGCGAGCGUUAUUCGGAGUUAUUGGGCGUAAAGAGCGCGUAGGCGGCUAGAAAAGUCAGUUGUUAAAGAACCCGGCUUAACCGGGUAAAUGCGAUUGAAACUGAUUAGCUAGAGGGUAAGAGAGAGAAGUGGAAUUCUCGGAGUAGCGGUAAAAUGCGUAGAUCUCGAGAGGAACACCGGUGGCGAAGGCGGCUUCUUGGCUUACUACUGACGUUGAAGUGCGAAAGCGUGGGGAGCAAACAGGAUUAGAUACCCCUGUAGUCC